CCUACGGGAGACAGCAGUGGGGGAUAUUGCACAAUGGGGGAAACCCUGAUGCAGCGACGCCGCGUGGGUGAAGAAGUAUUUCGGUAUGUAAAGCCCUGUCAGCAGGGAAGAAGAAAUGACGGUACCUGAGUAAGAAGCACCGGCUAAAUACGUGCCAGCAGCCGCGGUAAUACGUAGGGUGCAAGCGUUAUCCGGAUUUACUGGGGGUAAAGGGAGCGCAGGCGGCACGGCAAGCCUGAUGUGAAAGCCCGCGGCCCAACCGCGGGACUGCAUUGGGAACUACCGGGCUGGAGUGCCGGAGAGGUAGGCGGAAUUCCUAGUGUAGCGGUGAAAUGCGUAGAUAUUAGGAGGAACACCAGUGGCGAAGGCGGCCUACUGGACGGUGACUGACGCUGAGGCUCGAAAGCGUGGGGAGCAAACAGGAUUAGAUACCCCAGUAGUC
rnacentral:rRNA from 1 species